rnacentral:lncRNA from 1 species
UUUUUUUUUUUUUGUAUCUAGCUCUUGUUUACUGAUUUUAGCAUAAAUUUUUGGUACGCUAAAAUUGAGCUUGUAUGAAAAAAAAUAAUAUGACCUAUGUGCAUAUAGUAGGCCAUCAAUAAAUAACAUAAAUAGCAUUCAAGAUCAAUUUGUUAAAUGGAAUUAACUGGUCUUGAUCUGUCUUCUUCUUUUCUAGAAAUAUUAAAAGUUUGUCAGAUAUCCAGAUUGUACAGGUUGCUUGUGGUUACUAUCAUUCACUUGCACUUUCUAAAGCAAGUGAAGUCUUCUGUUGGGGACAGAAUAAAUAUGGCCAAUUGGGUUUAGGUACUGACUGUAAAAAGCAAACUUCACCGCAGCUGCUUAAGUCUUUGCUUGGAAUCCCUUUCAUGCAAGUUGCAGCAGGAGGAGCCCAUAGUUUUGUACUCACCCUUUCUGGAGCUAUCUUUGGAUGGGGACGCAACAAGUUUGGUCAGCUAGGUCUUAAUGAUGAAAAUGAUAGGUAUGUUCCUAAUUUACUAAAGUCACUAAGAUCUCAGAAAAUAGUUU